CCACGGCCCCGAGAAUUAUCCGGCCUGCAAUGUUAUGCCAAGGCUGAGAAACCUUCCUCAGUCUGACAGGUGCCUUUAGCGCUGAAGGCCUAGAUGUCUGCAGCUUCGGUCAAUGUCGACCUUGGUCGUUUAUGGCUUCAGAGUCUGCUGAGAGCUCAGGCCUCGAGGAGACAGCGAUGAAAGACUUAAAGCUGCCAUCUGUUGGGCACUUGUUCUGUGCCGGCUCGGUUCCUACUCAAAGAGGGUUCCAGGAACUCCCAGGGCUGUGUCCAACUCUGAGGCUGGGGCAGGACCUGCAAGAUGACCCAGUGGAGAAUGCGCCGGUGCUUGGGGAUGCUUCACGUCUCGGACCUUCCCACUGGCCUGACUGCCGCGACAGGGAGUAAAAGGAAAAACACCACAGAUUGGCAAGGGACCUGCAGAAGGCUCAGAUGGAGGAAUAACAAUCUGCUGCGUUUGAGGACAUCGGGGCUGGGCGCGAACGAGCGGGCAUGUGGGCUGUGCGCAGCAGGCUGGGACCGGGUUUAGGGGCAACUCCAGGUCGGAGCGCAGGACAGCUGUAGCGCCUGGGAACUUCGGAGACCCCACUGUGUGCGAGGCUCUCCUUGAACAGUGAAUUUACUUGCGACUUUUGGUUUGUCUUCUGCCUCCUCCUCCAGUCUGUCAGCUCCAUGAGACUGUUGGUUUCCAUACCCACUGGGCUAGGACCUAGAGAAGCUUCUGGAACAUAAUGGGUACUGGAGAACAUUGGAACAGACUGGUGCAUCAUCUUGGCCCUUCAAUCCUGAAGAUUUCAGCGUGUGUUUCCUGAGAAUGGAGCUGAUCUCUUAUGUCAUCACAGUUAUCAACAUCAUCAAUUUUCGUUGACACUAUACUUUCCUC
rnacentral:lncRNA from 1 species